rnacentral:rRNA from 1 species
AGCAGCCUGCGUCCGAUUAGGUAGUUGGUGGGUAAUGGCCUACCAAGCCUGCGAUCGGUAGCUGGUCUGAGAGGACGAUCAGCCACACUGGGACUGAGACACGGCCCAGACUCCUACGGGGAGGCAGCAGUGGGGAAUAUUGGACAAUGGGCGAAAGCCUGAUCCAGCAAUGCCGCGUGUGUGAAGAAGGUCUUCGGAUCGUAAAGCACUUUCGACAGGGACGAUGAUGACGGUACCUGUAGAAGAAGCCCCGGCUAACUUCGUG